UCUGUGUCCAAAACUUCUUGUUUUAAUUUCUUUUAGGUACAUCUUUGUAAUUGACUUUAUGGAGACAUGUAUGUUAAGGCCGUGCAUCUGAUUAAAUUCCCAAAAGUAAAAUAGGAGAUCCUAAUACUAUCCAUACUCUUGCAACUGUUAUCCUAAUCUCUCAAGAACACCUAAGGACACUAAGGCUAUGAAGAAACAGAGAAUGACAACUGAAGUUCCAUUAGAAGCUAGAAAGAAUUUGCAGCAUGCUUUAAAACUUACUGGCAAAAGACCUUUCGAAGAAUAGGCAGAGGAAUACUUCUGUUUACCACCUACAGUGAGGUACGUGACACUUAAGUCUUUCAGACUUAAUCAUUUCUUAUAAUUUAGAACAGCUGAGAUCUUUCUAUCUAAAGAAAUUUUAUACUGAACUUUCUCUUCAGUUUAUGUUACUUAGAGUCUAUAUAAUUCAAGGACAUAGUUUCAAGGUUAUGUCUUUGCAUCUGGGAGUUUAAAUUCCAUGUAAUUUAUUUAUUAGGCAGGCAUUUAAGUCCCUUUUCAAGCUGUGGUAUCUUACCUGUUUUGGGGUGACUGCACAGUUUUAAAUGUGCUGUAUUUAUUUGCUCAGUCAAACAAGAAGUCUGUGAAUAGAGCUGUAUUUAAGUGCAGUUUCAGCCAAACUGCCUGUUAUUCUGCUAGUGACAUAUAUUAAUAGUCCUAUCUAUCAUCUGACUGUAACUUCCCAUCCACUACUGAUGGUGUAUAGAUUAUU